AUACUGACCUGGCAAGGGAGACACCAUGAUCAGGAAGGAGGUUGUCCCAGGGUGAGGCUCAUCCAUGUGCUGACCCCUGAUAUUUCCCCAAAUGUGGGAAACUUGACUUCAUAAUUUGUGAUAGUAGGGGACUGCGUUCACACUUUCCCCUU
rnacentral:snRNA from 1 species